rnacentral:rRNA from 1 species
UGCGCAGGCGGUUCGUUAAGUUCGAUGUGAAAGCCCCGGGCUCAACCUGGGAAUGGCAUUGAAAACUGGCGGGCUUGAGUCUGGCAGAGGGGGGUGGAAUUCCGCGUGUAGCAGUGAAAUGCGUAGAGAUGCGGAGGAACACCGAUGGCGAAGGCAGCCCCCUGGGCCAAGACUGACGCUCAGGCACGAAAGCGUGGGAGCAAACA